UCCAACGGCAUCGGGGAGUAGCCACUGCAUAUCCCUGCAGGAUCGUAUCAACAUGCUUGCGCCCAUGCGCAUGGUGCGAUCGGCCGAGACGCUCGGCC
rnacentral:sRNA from 2 species